CUCAUCUUCUCUAUCAUGGAGACAAGACCGACUCUUUUCAUUGUUGACUCUGCAAACAGUUCAGUUUCCUUCAACAGGAUUGUGGAACAAACUUUCGAUAAUGAGGACCUUGCAGCAAAAGUGAUGGAUUUGGCAAGAAAUGUAACAGACUUGGUGAUCUCCUCAGAAAGUUUAUAUGCAACCAUAAACGUUAAUGUCUCAAGUUCAGUGACCAUGCAUGAGAUUGCACAGUGCACCCCGACAUAGCAAAAUCAGCCUGUAAGAGUUGCUUGCUUUCGGCUAUCAGAGAGUUUCCUACCGCUCUUCAUUUUAAAAGGGGAGGUGUGAGAAUUCUUCAGCCGAGUUGUAAUGUACGGUACCAAAUGAAUCUUAGUGGGGAACGUAGAGGACAAGCACCAGCACCUUCUACAACAAACAAAACCAGCACUGAGUCCGGCAGUGAAGAGAAGGAAAACAGCCCAGAGGUUCAGUUACUUCAUCUAAGACGAGAAAUUGGAGAAGAGUUUUCAAAGGAAAGAUCUCGAGGAGAAAAGCUGGUGGCUUCUCAAGAAUUAUCUCUAUACGAUUAGACAUUAUACGUGCGGCCACACAAAACUUCUCCAAUGAAUGUAAACUUGGGGAAGGUGGGAUUGGCCCCGUGUACAAGGGCACACUGGCAGAUGGAAAAGAAAUUGCAGGUUAAAAGGCUUUCAAGAACCUCAGGCCAAGGACUUAUCGAGUUUAAGAACGAAGUGAUCUCGAUUGCUAGACUACAACAUAGGAACCUUGUUCGAUUAUUGGGAUGCUGCUUCGAAGAGCAUGAAAAACUCUUGAUAUAUGAAUACAUGCCCAACAAAAGCUUGGAUGUCUUCCUUUUUGGUUUGAGCUUUAGCAUAUGCAAUGAGUAUUUUAGCUAGUUAAUUUUAGUUU